rnacentral:rRNA from 1 species
UACGGAGGGGGCGAGCGUUGUUCGGAAUCACUGGGCGUAAAGCGUGCGUAGGCGGUUAUACAAGUCAGGAGUGAAAUCCCAGGGCUCAACCUUGGAAUUGCUUUUGAGACUGUAUGACUAGAGAUCUAGAGAGGUUGGGGGAAUUCCGAGUGUAGAGGUGAAAUUCGCAGAUAUUCGGAGGAACACCAGUGGCGUAGGCGCCCAACUGGCUAGAUACUGACGCUGAGGCACGAAAGCGUGGGGAGCAAAC